rnacentral:lncRNA from 1 species
AAUACUGAUGGCUAUUAGUUUAUUCAUUCACUAAUACAAACAAGUAAGAUAAAAUCAAAUAGUUCCAUCUUCUUUCAUCACGGAUCCAUCACCGAUUAGGUGGUCUAUCAUCCCCUCGGGUUGCUCAAAGAAGUCUGCCACAUCCUAGUGGGUGAUGUCAAAGUUGUCGUCAGAGACAAAAUUCGUUUCAGGGCGUUUACUCUUUCGAGAUGCUUGAUAAAGGUCAACCAAAAGNNN